rnacentral:rRNA from 1 species
UCUGAAUCUGCGUACGGCUCCGCACACCAGUUGUAAACCAUAGCAAGCACGAUCGGUAUCCGGCCUUCACGGGUCGGGUGCCGGUCAAUAAGGAUAACCCUGGUAAUUCUGAGGCUAAUACUAGACUGUAAUCCCUGGCCGACCGGCAACGGGAAGCUGGGGGACGUGUGAUUAGGCGCAAGAAAAGCCGGGAAAGAAUGCACGUCCAGACCGCGACAAAAACGGAUCGGUUUCGGCCGGCCCGAGCGGCUCUUGCGGGGUGCUUCUGACCUAUCAACUAGAUGGCAGCGUAACGGGCAUGCUAUGGU